GGAUGUAGAUUAGUGGUAGAGUGCUUGCUUAGCAUGCAGGGGGGCUUGGGUUUGAUCCCCAGCACCA
rnacentral:tRNA from 1 species